rnacentral:rRNA from 1 species
AACGCGAAGAACCUUACCUGGCCUUGACAUGUCUGGAAUCCUGCAGAGAUGCGGGAGUGCCUUCGGGAAUCAGAACACAGGUGCUGCAUGGCUGUCGUCAGCUCGUGUCGUGAGAUGUUGGGUUAAGUCCCGCAACGAGCGCAACCCUUGUCCUUAGUUGCCAGCGAGUAAUGUCGGGAACUCUAAGGAGACUGCCGGUGACAAACCGGAGGAAGGUGGGGAUGACGUCAAGUCCUCAUGGCCCUUACGGCCAGGGCUACACACGUACUACAAUGGUCGGUACAGAGGGUUGCAAUACCGCGAGGUGGAGCCAAUCCCAGAAAGCCGAUCCCAGUCCGGAUCGAAGUCUGCAACUCGACUUCGUGAAGUCGGAAUCGCUAGUAAUCGCGGAUCAGCUAUGCCGCGGUGAAUACGUUCCCGGGCCUUGUACACACCGUAGUAC